rnacentral:lncRNA from 1 species
UUUUUACUUAUUUUGUUAAACAUUUCACAAUUACAUUUUGGUUUGGUUCCACUGCACUUGGGAAUUGUCCAAUUGUUCCCUGCCUUCCCCCACCUCCCUUACACCAAUAUUGAUACUCCAUGGUUAAGAAAAUGGGUCAGUCAAGUAUAUUGACACUUCACAAUGCAUCUUCUCCUCCUCUUUAACUAGUGGUAGAAGUGAUUAUGCAGACUCUAGUCAGUUGUGCUGGGAAGGAGCACCUUCUGGUUAGAAGAUCAGCAUUCCCUGGAAAAGUUGAAUAGUCCUGCCAUCAGCAUCUGCCAGCAAACAGACUUUUCCCUUUGGAACUCUGGUACACCAGCUGCAACAGCAAGACAACCACCAACAUUUGAGAAUUGAACAGGGAUCUCAGAGGUUAACUUGUCAAAUUCAUAUCGAAGGACAGAAUCCCCUUUACUACAACCCCUGAAAAGAGUUGCUUAUAGGGUGAAAGC